GACGAACGCUGGCGGCGUGCUUAACACAUGCAAGUCGAACGGUGAAGGAGAGCUUGCUCUCCGGAUCAGUGGCGAACGGGUGAGUAACACGUGGGCAACCUGCCCCAGACUUCGGGAUAACGCUUCGAAAGAGGUGCUAAUACCGGAUACGAACUCCUUGGGCAUCCUUGGAGUUGGAAAGUUUUUCGGUCUGGGAUGGGCCCGCGGCCUAUCAGCUUGUUGGUGAGGUAACGGCUCACCAAGGCGACGACGGGUAGCCGGCCUGAGAGGGCGACCGGCCACACUGGGACUGAGACACGGCCCAGACUCCUACGGGAGGCAGCAGUGGGGAAUAUUGCGCAAUGGGCGAAAGCCUGACGCAGCAACGCCGCGUGAGGGAUGACGGCCUUCGGGUUGUAAACCUCCUUCAGCAGGGAAGAAGCGAAAGUGACGGUACCUGCAGAAGAAGCACCGGCUAACUACGUGCCAGCCGCCGCGGUAA
rnacentral:rRNA from 1 species